GAUUUUAUAUUAUCGAAGCACUAAUAUAAUAUAAAAUAAAAAAAGCACUACGUCGUUCUUUUUUGCACUAACCUAAUGAAUGAGCAGUUUGAAGUCGUUAAUAAGCACUAAUUUCAUUGAUGGAAUGUGCAUGUAGAAAUUCAAUGCAAAUACAAAAAUGCACAAAUAAAAUAAUAAAAAAUUAGUAAACCAUUAUAAGAAAAUUGAAACUGCAGAAUAUUUUUAAUCUUGUGAAAACAUCAAAAUGUCCGCAAUCAAUGACAUUCCAAAAGGAAACAAAGUAAUGUUGUCAACAUUUAUUAAAUGGAAAGUUCAAGAGGUAAUAGGCUUUAGAACUGAAGUUACCAGAUAUGAGUGACGAAUUAGCUGCAUUCAGUUUCGAAAAUGUAGAAGAGGAAACACCGUUGACAACAGUUGAGGGGAAAAUCUGUUAUUUAACCUAUAAUGAAUAGUUUAAAAAAAAAAAGAUUUUCAAA
rnacentral:lncRNA from 1 species